rnacentral:rRNA from 1 species
UACGUAGGGUCCGAGCGUUGUCCGGAGUUACUGGGCGUAAAGCGUGCGCAGGCGGUGAUGUAAGACAGAUGUGAAAUCCCCGGGCUCAACCUGGGAAUUGCAUUCGAUACUGGAUAGCUAGAGUUCGGCAGAGGGAAGCGGAAUUUCGGGUGUAGCGGUGAAAUGCGUAGAUAUCCGAAGGAACAUCAGUGGCGAAAGCGGCUUCCUGGACCAGAACUGACGAUCAGGCACGAAAGCGUGGGGAGCAAACAGG